UGCUGUAACCCCUAAUACCCAGUACACAGAUAAAAUUCUCAGUAUACAGGUGGUAUAGUACUCAGUAUACAGAUAGAAUUCUCAGUAUACAGGCGGUAUAGUGCUGUAACCCCUAAUACCCAGUAUACAGAUAAAAUUCUCAGUAUACAGGUGGUAUAGUGCUGUAACCCCUAAUUCCCAGUAUACAGAUAGAAUUCUCGGUAUACAGGCGGUAUAGUGCUGUAACCCCUAAUACCCAGUAUACAGAUAGAAUUCUCAGUAUACAGGUGGUAUAGAAGUAGUGCUAGCACAAACACAUUACAGAUCAUUGAAAUCCUAUUGUAGUCAUUGACACAACUGUCAACACAUUAUUUAUUCCAUAGAUUCGUAAUAAAUUCAAACCAAAUUGUGUACACUGUAGUCUGUGUCAGAAUGAGAAGCUAAUUUAUCAGCCAUCUUGUUAAUUUACAUAAAUGCCAGAAGUGUUUGUUUGGAAAAUUGGGUGAGGAAUGAAGAAGGGGGGGAAAAGAAAAACUCAAAUUAUUUCAGAAUAUGUUGUAUUUUUUCCAAUAUGACGAGAAGUUUUGUUCACCUUUGAUAUUGUGGGAAUGACAUGUUUGUGGUAAUUCUGAAGAUUACCAUCCAUUGUCUAGGUCCAACGACACUAAAUCUUGAUUAUUGGAAACAGCUGUCAUCCAUGAUUUUUAUCUAGUCAUUGAUUUUGUCACAUGUGUUAUAUAAGCGAGUUUUGAAUGAUUGCGAAUAUUUUUAAACAUUUUCUGGAGGUGAAAAUGGGACAGUGCAUUUGUGUACCACUUUUGAUAACAAUAACAUACGAAGCAGAUGUUCUGUGUAUUUAUAAAGGACAUUUGUUGUUCCCAUUAUUUUCCUCAACAGUGAUAUAUAAUCAAUGAAAAAAUAUUCAUGCUUGUCUGUGUCUUCUCUGUUGUCUCUGUGUUUCUGUGGCAAACAAUACUAUACAAAGUAUGACCUUCAUACAGUAUUGUACGAAGUAUGACUGUCAUACAAUACUAUACAAUAUGACUAUUAUGAUAUUGUACAAUGUAUGACUGCCAUACAAUAUUGUACAAAGUAUGACUGCCAUACAAUAUUGUUAAGGUAUGACUAAUACAAUAUUGAAGAACUGAUGAAUGGCAUACAAUACCAUAGUAGUAAGACUUUUGUAGGAUGUUAUACAGCUAGAGUAUGACAGCGGUAUGAUAUUGUUAACAGUAUGAGUAUCGUAGGGUAUUACAGAAAAUAAUAUUGUACAAUAAGUCUCUAUGUUUGUACCCGAUUUACAUACUGAACAAUAGUGUACCAGAUGUCAUACAAUGUUGGAUAAAAUGGACAAGUCAUACAAAACUGUACAAGUCAUACAAAACUGUACAAGUCAUACAAAACUGUACAAGGUUUGGAUGUUAUACAAUGUAGAACAUGUACAAAGUUUUGUAGUGUCAUACAAUGUUGUACAUUGUUUGGCUGUCAGGUAAAUCUGAACAAUGUUACGAUGUUGUAUUGUUUUACAUUGUAUUUUGUUUACACUGUAUGGUGUAAAACAAUACGGCACCACAAAGUAGAAAGGAGUUGUUUUAGCUGGUGACUUUGUACAUGUCGCAUGCUAUAAUUUCUAAUUGUAUUGCUGUCUUGCACCUUGUGUUUUGGAGUCGUACAAUAUAAUACAUAAUUUGCUUAUGUAAACAUCAUGUACGUUGUAUAAUUAUCUACAUUGUAUUACGGGGUAAUGUAUACCGAUGUAAUACCAUGUCAUGUCUGUACACUAUACUUUGUAUGCCAUAUGGUAAAUGCAUAAAUAUUCACAUCCUUAUGUUGCAUAUGACUUUAUUUUAUGGCAUUAAAAUAUGAAACAGGU